UCGUCAUCAGCCAUCAACCGUAGCUCAGCAAGUGAUGGAAAAGAUAAGAACAAUGGAAUUUAAAAGAAAAGGACAGUCACUGUUGUUCAUUUUCCUCAAGCUUUUAACAUCUCACCCCAAAAGUCAAAUCACAGCCACAUGCAUCCCUUUCACCCAACAACACAUACAAAUUAAAAAAAAAAUUAAAAUCAUAUGGACAAAGAAAUUUCAACUUUAUUAUUGUACUAGCUAGCCACUAAUGCUCCCAUCCACUUCAUUUUAUAAAAUUUGCAAAACAUUUAUUACCUCAUAUAUGAUGAAACCAUGAAUGUGAUGGUGAAAUUAUCCAGUGGCUGGCUGCUUCAUCGUAGCUGCCGCAGGAAAAUGGCAACUUCCCAGCCAAGUUCUCUAGCAGUGACUCUACCAUUUCAGCUCCUUCAUCAAUAUCUGCACCUUUCUCUUUACCACUGUUUGUUCAACUGCAAUAAUGGUUAUGGAGAUGAUGGGAGAAGAUUCAUCAACAACAGUACUGCUGCUGGUGCUGCCAUGUUAGGGUUGCACCAUCAGCUGUAUCCUCAAAUUUCCAAAACGAUUAGUUACCAAACGAGAAUCACACCUGGUAUACUCCUAUCCAACUGAGAGCCCGAGAUACGUGGUAUCAUUAGUAGCUACUUGAAAAGAUAGACCACCCGUUACCUCACCAUGUUUUUAGUGGGAAUCCUCUUAUUUUUACGAGGGGUCAUCGAGAACUAUUAAAGUAUAACAACCUUUUAUUACCAUAGUAUUAUUACCAUAGUAAAGAGAAUAUCAAAACAGUAUUACGUUUGGCGACAAUCCACAAAUGACCAACUUAUCACCUAACCAACCACACAUUGACCAUUUCCGAGAAUUAUCAUUAAUGUGGCGCUACUAGAUAGAAGACUUUUCUAUAAAUAUCCCAAAGAAAGAUGAACAAGGGAUAAAAUCCCUCGCUCCUUCAGCAACCUUAAC
rnacentral:lncRNA from 1 species